rnacentral:rRNA from 1 species
GGGAGGGGAGCUAGCGUUGUUCGGAAUUACUGGGCGUAAAGGGCGCGUAGGGCGGUUAAUUAAGUUAGGUGUGAAAGCCCUAGGGCUCAACCUAGGAACUGCGCUUAAUACUGAUUGACUUGAGUUCGGUAGGGGGAAAUGGAAUUCCUAGUGUAGAGGUGAAAUUCGUAGAUAUUAGGAAGAACACCAGAGGCGAAGGCGAUUUCCUGGGCCGAUACUGACGCUGAGGCGCGAAAGCGUGGGGAGCAAACAGGAUUAGAUACCCUGGUAGUCCACGCUGUAAACGAUGAGUGCUAGACGUCGGUGGUUUAUCCAUCGGUGUCGUAGCUAACGCGAUAAGCACUCCGCCUGGGGACUACGAUCGCAAGAUUA